rnacentral:rRNA from 1 species
GUGCCAGCCGCUGCGGUAAUACAGAGGUCUCAAGCGUUGUUCGGAAUCACUGGGCGUAAAGGGUGCGUAGGCGGCGUGGAAAGUCAGAUGUGAAAUCCGGGGGGCUCAACCUCCGAAUAGCAUCCGAUACUACCAUGCUAGAGAACUGGAGGGAGUCUGGGAAUUCUCGGUGUAGCAGUGAAAUGCAUAGAUAUCGAGAGGAACACCAGUGGCGAAGGCGAGACUCUGGACAGUAUCUGACGCUGAGGCACGAAGGCCAGGGUAGCGAACGGGAUUAGAUACCCCGGUAGUCCUGGCAGUAAACGUGCACGUUUGGUGUGGGGGAUUCGACCCCUUCCGCGCCGGAGCUAACGCGUAC